rnacentral:lncRNA from 1 species
ACAGAGACACAAAGUAUUACAAUUUCUAAAAAACAAAAUUCAUCCUGGUGAGAAUAUAAUGCCAAAUCAUCAUCACCUCUCAUUGCAAUGCCUGCAUAUAUAACUUAGUGAAGUACUUUGAUCUUGAUCUUUGUUAAGACUUGUUCCAGCAAUAAAGAAAAUUGUUAAACGGAAUCUCGGUCACCUGACUGAGCAAAACAAGGAAAUUAGCUAUACCAUCUACUGUAAUGAAAGUGAAAUCAGUAAAAAGUAAACCCACAAUAAAAAAAUGAUGCUAGGCUAAUCGUAAAUUCUACUGUCGCUAUAAAUAAGUGACAGGCAUAAGUCCAGUUUCAUGUUGAUGGACUUGUAAAGGCCUCAAAAAGAAAAUAAGUAGCAUAUAUGAAAAAGACAAAGGGUCAAAUGAAGGUUAAAGGAGAUGUAAUGACGAACCUCACUAGAUUUGACACAUUUUACCCUUAAAGUCCAACUCUUCCUUCUCCUUAUCAUCCCUGUAACCUCCAUGUUUAAUUAUUAUCUUCCCAUAUGAUCUCCAGGACAUUGUCAUUCACAUCAACUUGCACUUAAUUUUCAAGCACUGGAACACAAUUCAGACAUAAGUCCAUAAAUGAAACCAUAUUUUCCUACAAUUCCUGUCAUUGAUUAUAGACAUAUCAUUUUCUAUUCUUCUAGGUCUUUACUCAUUCUAACCUAUAUAACCAUUGAGAAUAUUCAUAAUUUAUUGAAGCAUGAAAUUUUUAAAAGAUACAUCGAUUUAAGAUUUUCAAACAACAAAAAUGUUUUGCUUUGUAUUUCUAGUCUGACUUCCUUUUGGAAGUUAAAACUUUAAACUUUCUGUAGAGGAUUUAUCCUGAGUAGGAAAUAAUAAGAGCAUUGGUAAGAUAGUCUAGGUUCUAUCUAUCUAACAUGACAAUUGCAAACAAUGAGGCUCCCAAUCGUGAGGUCAUAUAAAUAAAACAUGUUAUGCAUAAAAAUAUGUCAACGCUACAUUGCUGUCAAAAAGAAAUUCAUUUUCUUUGUAGGUUCACUAAUAAUAAAAUGAAACAAGGGACAGUGCAUCAUAUAAGAGAUUAUCCAUUACCAGUUCCUGCAUCAUCAUGGUGCUCCAAGAUCUUGUAAACCUCCAUUGGAGCAGCAUAGCCAUUGAUCAAUGAGAAUGUACGUGAAUGUGAGGCACAUAAUAUGAGGCUCAGGGCCACAGGUCUAAGAAAUUGGCCAUCUGCGUAAAAUGCAAUAUCAUUUGAAUGAGAGCUUAGUGCUGUAGCAUACAGAAUUAAAUUGGUGUGAAGAUGCCCCACCAUAACUAUAAUAGAAUUAUCGUAGGGAUUAUAUUUGUCUCGGAAAGAUCAGUAAAACUCUCAAUGACAGACAGCAGAAGCAGCAACACAAACAAGAGGGUAUAUGGGAUAAAGGAAUCUGCAUGACAAUUAAAUAUAAGGACGGUUACAGAUCGAAGCAGGCAAGACCCGAUAUUAAAGAUUGUUCAGGACACGUAAAGAGACAAUGACAAAUGUGAUCUGUUUUGUUCCCUUGCAAAACAUGCCAUUCAAAUUAGCCCAAAGUUUUGGACCAAAACAAUUUCUGAACCCUCCUUGAAACUUCUAAAAGUCAUAUAUUGGAAUGUUCUUUAUUAAUUUAUCUAUUUUAUGUCAGGGAAAAGCAGGAAACAAAAUAUAAACAAAAUUUCCUAAAGACAUUUAGGAUAAAGAUUAAUUGUACCUUUCUUCUUUGUGCGGCUGCAGAGACAUAAAUGCCAGCCAUAUAUAAAGAGGAGAGAUUACAAUAAACAAGUCAGGGGCAUACUUUUUUCUUGCAAUUUGGCAGAAUUCCCAGGAAAAGCAAAGCAAGGAUGAAACAGAGUUGAAGUUGUAUAAACCAUUCCUUAUAUAAAAAAGUGGCCCCUCAAUCCCAUACAAAUGGCUCUCGCCACCUCCUAAUACAUUAUAUACUAAGAGAUUAAAAACAGAUGAUGUCCAGCGUUGGUAGUAGCAGUGAUCAACGAGUAUGGAGAGUGCCUGGAGAACGAACUUCAAUUAUUCACAAUUAAACACAAAUGGAAAAAACUAAAUAUAAACCAAUUACAAAUAUGUUAAUGUCAAACUCUAAGUUAAGAUAUCAAAACAAUAUAUCCAGAUAUAAUAACCAAAUGGAAUGAUUAAAUUUACUUACAAGAAGAGCUAUUGAGGUGACAGCACCAGAAAGAAAUGCUUGUUGAAUUGUUUAUCUAAAGAGUAGAAGGUCAGUGGAAGAAAAGCCAAGAUUGAAAAUGGCCAACCUAGGAUUACACCCACAGCUGCAACAGCAACAGCCCAUGCAGGUUUCCUCAAGUAGAAAUAACCCGAAUGAGAGGCUCAUAGCAUACAUAGAGAAUGAACUAGGAAGAAAACCUGGAAAAAAAUUAUCACAGUGAUAAAAUAUAGCAAUUUGAGAGAAUGACAGAAUUUGUUAGGCAUUCUCAUAUAGCUUAAAAGCACAUUUAUUGAUUACUUUGUUAGAAGCAGCUGAAAGCCUACAACCAACAAGGAAAAGCAUGACAAACACUUAUAUAUCAUCAUUCUGGAGAUUGACAAAGGAAGACGGAAAAAAACCACUCACUUGUGCUGGCCAAGACCAUUUUUGGAUUAGUUAAAUUGAAGUUUACAUUUAAUGGAGUAACUGAUUUGCAAUAUAAUCACAUAGUUCAUUUCACGUCCCAUCAUUCUCAAUUUAUUCUAGAAAAGCAAAAAGUGAAAACCGAUACUUUUUUUUUAUUUUUUAUUUUACUAGUCAUAUAUUUACCAUUCAUAGACCAAUCAUGACAGCAGCAGCUUUAUUUAUUUUCAUUGUUUCCCGCAAAGCUUCAAAUUGGUCAGGUUAUCAAAUUUAUUUUUUUAAAUGCCACCUAAUCCGAUUUAAACAGAUCUACCUAAUCCGGUUUAACAGAUGUUCUCUAGUGGUGUUAUUAAUGGAAUUUUAAUUUUAAAUAAAAAAGAAAGGAUCAAAUUUAAAAUAAACAAGAAUAAAGCGACUAAAAGCAUAAUUAGACCUCAUAAGACCAGACAUCAAAAGAAGCAAGUGUCCUUCCCGUCCCUGCUUUACCCCCAUUUCUACUCUGAGAUAUCUUAUAGUUUUGGUUCUAUUUAUGUCAACAUCUCAAUGAAAAAUAGUUAUAAACCAACAAAUGAUAGCAUAUGAAAACCCGGACGUACCAGUAUGAAGAUAAAUCUCUCGAUUCAUCUACUCCUGCUUUCAACAGCCAGACAUGAAGUGAACAAUUGACCGCUUUCAACACGCAAGCGCCCUUAACAGAAAUAGAAAUUAACAAAGUUAAACUACAAAAUAAAUUGUAUAGCCCAUUGCAACCUUUUUUAUACAACAACAAGAAAAAUGUCUCCGGCUAAUGAUGAGUGAGCUAAAAGCUGAGAAUCUAGAUCUCUUUCCACCAACAGCUAGCAAACAAACUAAGCAGACCAUACAUCAAUAAUUGCCCUUUUAAGAAAAAAGAAACAUCCUCAAUAGCAUGAAUGAAAGUGAGUUAUUUUAUAACAGUUGCCAUCUUCAUUCCUAAACCAGCAAGUCCCUGCAAAGCUCUAGCCCUCUAAAAAAGUACAACGUCAAAUAAUACCAGCAAAAGGAAUUUUGUAAUUAAAAUAUGUAUGUUCGUAUAUAUUUCUUAUUCCUAAGCAUUCUUCACAAACCACAAUCUCAACGUAAUAAAAACUCUCUGAGAAAGAGUAGCCAUCCCAAAAAAUGAAUCCGCAUAAAGCUCCAUCCUUUUUAAUCCGAAUCAUUAAUAAAAGCACUUCUGCAUCUAUAGCUUGGAUUAUUGGAUGAAUAAUUCGGAGGAACUAAGCAGAACAUAAGCAAUAAUAGUCAGCUAAACGAAGUGGCUGCGAUACCCAGGUGCGUUUUAUGGUUUAUUCAGUAAUAAAUCAAGAAAAAUUACAAACUUCACGUAUAACCCAAAAUUGAAAACCCAAAAAAGAAGAAAGUGGAGAGAAGGAAGAACCUGGUUUAGGAUUAAAGACGGUGUUUGGUGAGAGAGAUAAUCUACCACGUAUGGCAGUCUCCAUGCCUCUCUGACUCUAUAUUUCCACACACAGUCUCUCCUCACUUCUGUCUAACGAAAAAUGUUUUAAGUGAAAAUUUAGGGGUUUCAGAGGGGGGAAAUUUGGGGAUAAAAUCGCGCUU